UUAUGGCCACAUCACGUUGAAACACUGGUUUCCGUACGAUCACCGAAGUUAAGCAACGUCGAGCCUUGAGAAUAUCUAGAUGGGUGACCUCCUGGGAAUACCAGGUGCUGUAAG